GUGGGGAAUAUUGCACAAUGGGCGCAAGCCUGAUGCAGCCAUGCCGCGUGUGUGAAGAAGGCCUUCGGGUUGUAAAGCACUUUCAGCGAGGAGGAAAGGUUGAUGCCUAAUACGCAUCAGCUGUGACGUUACUCGCAGAAGAAGCACCGGCUAACUCCGUGCCAGCAGCCGCGGUAAUACGGAGGGUGCAAGCGUUAAUCGGAAUUACUGGGCGUAAAGCGCACGCAGGCGGUUGGAUAAGUUAGAUGUGAAAGCCCCGGGCUCAACCUGGGAAUUGCAUUUAAAACUGUCCAGCUAGAGUCUUGUAGAGGGGGGUAGAAUUCCAGGUGUAGCGGUGAAAUGCGUAGAGAUCUGGAGGAAUACCGGUGGCGGAGGCGGCCCCCUGGACAAAGACUGACGCUCAGGUGCGAAAGCGUGGGGAGCAAACAGGAUUAGAUACCCGGGUAGUCC
rnacentral:rRNA from 1 species